GGGGCUCCCAGGGGUUGGAACAGCAUGAGCAAAGGCAGAGGGGUUGGAAGAUGUCUGGGGGUCUGCAGGCAGUUUGGAGAGCAGGCAACCCCAGGCCAAGAUAGAAAGUGGCCAUUGGGCCAGCGCCUCCCAGAGCCAGAGAGGGGAGCUCUCAGCUGGCAGGACGAGACCUGUCCACCGGCACUUGGACCUUGCACACAAUGGGGCCUGCCAUGGCCAGGUUCACCAAGUGGGCACUUACCUUGCCUCUUCCCUGAUUAUUUCUCAUCCUUCUGAAACUCUCCCCCUGAAAUCCCAGCCUGGCCUUCCCCCAGCCUGCAGCUGGGCCUGUUAUUUUGCUCCAAAAGCACAGCAGAGUGCGGCUCCUUACUCGAGGAAUGCAGGCCGCGGUCCUCCGAGGGGAUGAUGAAACAGGCUAUUUCUGCCCCGGGACAUCAGCAGGCCUCCGGGCGGGUGCUGGCUCCAAGGCACCCACUAUCGUGUUUUUUAACGUUUCCCUAAACAAAUGUUUUCCUUCGCACCUUGGGAUAUUUGUAUUUGAAUCUAGGUGCUGAAAUAGCUUUAAGAAAUCAUUCUGGAUGGAAGCUGGACUCAUGGUUAGGGUCCAGCUCAGCGGCGAGCAAUUUCUCACUCCCCAAGUUAUCUAUUACCAGCGGCCGAUCUGGAUGUAAAAAUAGCUGCUGAGGCUGUUUGUUUAAUCUGACUGUUACUUGACACCACGCGGGUGUUGCGAUGCGGACUGUUUGCCUCUUCCCCACCAAGAACACCAUUUGGUUUCCCCCAGCUGGGUCUCUAUUUAGGUACGCUUCAUGAACGUCCAGUGUCUGGACAACUUCUGGGCACUGAUUUUCCCCAGGUGGGCAGGUCUGUGAGAACUAAGGGGUGUGGGUCUUGACUCGGUCCCUGGCUCAUCUUUGGACAGCCCAGAGAAGGAGGCAAGAAGUUUCGGCGGCCAUGCAGAGCCGGGCUGCUGGAGGACUCAGGGUUCUCUCCGGUUCCGGGCAGGCCUGAAGAGCCAGCAGCUGGGCCACGCGCAGAGCGGAAGGUGGAGGGAGAGCAUGUUCUCAGUUGACCUCGGCUCUCAGGUGGAAGACUGAAGACCACUUGGUGCAGAGUGCAUUCCCUUCCAAGCCUGCAUCAGUCAGCCUUGGAGAGCUUGACCACAGAGUUGGAGUGUCUGGGAAUCUGACAGCAAGAGGGUCCGAGGAGCCAAUCCACCAAUAGUAGCUUUCUCCCCAGGACCUGACAGACAGACCUCCCUUUCCUAGUAGGAAAGGGCAAGGGACUCUUCCGGACCACAGCACGUGAAAGUGGGGAGUGGCUGUGUCCUCCGUUCUCUGCAUGGCAGUCCCUCAAGACUCUGGCCCAGAGAAGGUGAGCACAGCACAGAUUCCCCAGGGGCCUGGAAGGGCUUCCAAAUCCCACAGAGAUGCCUGCGCGUGCUGCCAGCAGGAGCCCAGGGGCUCUGCCACCUGGAUGCUAUUCCCUGCCUCAUUGGGCCCCUCCUGUCCCUGAGGAGCCCCUUCCAGGGAGGGCUUGAGCUUCGGACGGGCUGCAAGGCUGAGCUACCAGAGGAAUUUCAUCUCAGCCAUGCCUUCGCCUGGAGCUUAAGGCAAGGGGGAGAGGAAACGCCGAGAUGUGCUUGAGUGACCCCACUCCCUGCUGACCGCGGAGGCCGGUUUCAGGCCUUGUGCCUCAGGGUCCUGCCUGCCUCAUGCUGGAGAUGCCCCUGGGUCUGCCCUCUGCAGGGGCAGCCUGGCCACAGGCAGCACCAACAGCUGGUCCCUUCACCUGGCCCUGUCAACCCCUCUCUGAGCCGGGUCAAGCCUAACGGCCGCAGAAACCAAAAAACCAGAAUUCAAACCCACUGGGCUAAAGCCACCGACUCAGAGCCACUUCUGUCCCUGUGUGCCCACCGUUUUCAUCAGGGCCAUCCCUGGCUCCCUGACUCCCGUGUGCAGAGCGUUUUCAUAGGUUGUCUGGGGUUUACUGCUGGGCUCAUCCAGCAUGGUAGGUCUGAGGAUCUCCUUCGGGAAGGCAGGCACUGCAGCUUAGAGACGUUCAGUAAUCUGCCCCAGGAUGCACAGCUAAUGAGGUGCUAAGAUGCAAACCUGGGACCGGAGUCCAAAGUUCAUGUCCAAAAGAGUCUCGACAAGGAGGCCAGUCCACGUACAAAGAGUCAAAACUUUCCUCAAAGAAGCCAUGCACGCCCAGACAGCCUCCUCCCCUUAGAGCCUCAGAGGGUCCCUGCUGCUCCCGGAGACCCGCGGAGGUGCUCAACAGGGGCUCUGGGGAGGGGCAGAUCCAGAGUCACAGUCCAGCCCCACCCUUCUUAGCCAGCCCCUGGGCCUCAACUUCUUCCUCUGUAAAAUGGGAAUACCAACCAUUGGGAAUCCAUCUCAAGGGCUCCUCCAUGCAUUAACUGAGCAAACAUAUGAAAAGUACCAGGCACAUAAUAAAUAUGACGACUGUUCUCUCAACUGCCCUAUUUGUCGGGUUUUUUCUCUCCUGCUUAAACUCCAACGUGGAUCUUUCCCUUCCAGAGGUCCCUAAAGAGAAACCCCAAUGCUUCAGGGCUCAGCUGACUCAUGUUCAUCGCUCAGCGGUAAAGUAGCUGGCUUCAUGGAGGACUGACCCGUCCUCACAGUGACCACUGGACAUUCACACAUCAUUAUUACCUAACCUCAUAUGCCAAAUAGCAUUAUGGAUCUGUACACUGUUAGCACUCGGGGUGGAGGACUCAGCCCGAGAGGGGAAGUGAUGUUCCCACUCACACAGCAACGUGGGCAGAGUCUGGGUGACUCUGUGCCCACCGACAUCAGCCAGCACAUCCUGCUCUGCCCCACCAGCAACCCCCCAGGGGAAAGAAAGGAGGUUAAAGCUUUACGUAAUUUUACCUAAUUUAAAUUUACCUAACUUUAACUUACAUCUCAAGCGCAAGGGUAGGAGUCUAAAUUAUAACUGAGCGAGGAGGUUUUCCCUGAAUUGCUUCCGGGUGACUGCCUGGGAGCUGCAGACCCAUCGUUUAAGGGGAACGCCCUGUAAGCGCCAUCGCUGCAAGAAGUUAGCCAACAUCCCGUCUAAGAAUGAGGGAGCUGAGUGGCUUGCUAAGGCAGAGAAACCAGGCGGAGAGGGCACACACGAGGGCGGAUCCCAGGAUAGGGAAGCCCUCUCGGCACGCUGGUCAGUCACUGCCUUGCUUACACUGGCAAAAGGCAAUGUUGUCCUAGUGACCCUCGUGCCCCCGGCCCUAAGUGAGGCAAGAUGUGUGCUGGGGAGGAUAGCGACAUUUACGGACAGCUACUCGGGGCCAGCCACCUCACAGACACAAAUUCAUUAGGUCCUCACAAUGACCCCAUGAGGCAAGUACGACUGUUAGUCUCAUUUUACAGAUGAGGAAACCGAGGCACAAAUAGGGUUUAUAAUUUGCAGAGGGUCACUCAGAGCUAGCAUAACCAGGAGCUGUGCCCAAGGAGAUCUGGCAUCAGUCCAUGCCCUUCCCACUCUGUUAUACCGCCCCCCUCUGGGGAUGAGAAAUGAUGCCAGGUGGCAUUUAGUGAUCACCUACUAUGUGCUUCACACACAUGCGAUCAUUUAACACACUCAGCAAUCCUGUUGGAGGAUUCAAAUCACAGUGGUAGAUACGGGAUUCCUUCCCUGCGCUGUCUGCUUCAAAAACCCAAGGUCUCCGGAGUGCUGGAAGCUUCCAUUCAUUGAGUCCUUAUACUGUGUAAAUCUCCUCUGGGCUCUUGACAUUUUUUUUUUACCCCCACCCUUCACAACCACCCAAUGAGGUGGGUCUUGUUGCAGCUGAAGGAUCGGAGGCUCAGAGAGGGGACGUAACGUGUCGCGGUCACACGAGGCUAGGAAAGGGGAGCCCUGGUCUGACUCCAAAUCUCGUGCUCCUUCCACCGCCCUCUGUUUGGUGCGCAGUCCGGACCAGGAGCUCAUGCACACACAACAGCCAAAGCUCUCUUGCAGCUGCCUUCGAACAAGCCCUGCCCCAUGAGACCUCUCUCCUUCCACCUCCUGGACCCGCAGCUUGCACUCACUUCUGCCUGCUCUCCCCAACUAGGCGAUGGUCCCUUGAAGAGGGCAGCACUUCUGAUUCACGCCUGCACCCCACACACGCACAGCCUGCCCAGAGCCAGCCUGGAGCAAGGCAGACACAGCCCAAACCACAGUGGCAGACAGCCGUGGGGCCCCAGUGGCCCCAGAGCUUAUGGCUUAUCAGUACAACCUCCCAAAAAGGGAUACAGCCUCCAACCUAGGGCGGCGGUGCUCCAAGUGUGGUCCCAGGACAGGCAGCACCAGCAUCCCCCCUGCCCCACCCCGACCUCCUGCGUGGGCAUCUCUGGGGUAAGGCCCAGCACUCUAACAAGCCCUCUGGGGCCUUCAAGAAGAACCACUGGCUCAGAGAAGGAAAGGGGACAAGGUCCCCGUGUUGUUCUCAAACACAGUAGGAGAUGCUCCAAGAAGCUGAUCUUUUCACAUCAACUCAAGCUGUAAUUUUAAAUAACUUUGCCUGUUGGAAGAGCCUAUCUCAGUGUUCAUUUUUAGAAGGAUAACCUGGGUGGCCACAUCUGAAUUAUUUUUCUUGCCACUGUAAAGCGUCCCAUAAGGAAUUCCAUGAAGAAGGCAGGAUGGUUGUCAGGCCCCCGCGGCAGGAAAGUUGUGUCUCCUUCCCUGGAAGAGCUGGGCUCUCCGCUGUCACGACCCUUGGAGAAAGGACAGGUGUCAGCUCCCAAAUAGACAUCUCCCAUCCAGUUCCAGCCUCCAGCAGGAAGUGAGAAGGCCAGGGACAGCCGGGCUCUGACAAGUGUGUGCGUGUGUGUGUGUGUGUGCGUGCGCGUGCGCGCCCUCAUGGGGUUUAGGAAUUCCUGGGUUUAGGACUUCCCUGGUUCUCCAUGUGAGGCCCCUCCCCCAUCCCAGAAAGUCAUGCCCUCCUGGCUGUGCAGGGACGAGGAAGAUGGCACCCUCCAGUGUGCCUCCUGAAGGACCGCCAGGUACAACAGACGCCAUCUCUAGCUCUGCCAAAGCAAAUGGUCCCUGAUGGGAAGAGGAGAGCCACUGAAGGUAGAAGAGAAGGUGCUAAGAGAGAAGCUGCUGCCCCCUCCCCCCGCCCGCCACCCGUGGACACCAUGGCAGAUGGAGACACCCCCAGAAACCCAGAGCCUCGCUCUGCCUUGGCUGCAUAGGAAGCACAGAGCCAUGUAGCACAGACCCUUGAGUCUGAAUCCCAAUGCUGGUGCUCUCUGGCUGUGUGACCUUGAGCGAGUUGCUCAACUUCUCUGACCCUCAAUUUUCCCACCUCAAAUUCCUUUGGCACCAGCCCUACCUAACUUGCCUCUGGUUGUGAUCCCUGAGCAAGAUCACAGAUACCAAGUGCGUGGCAGGUGGUAGGAGCUGGAUAAACGGGAUGGACACCUGGAACUGCCCAGCAGGGAGCUGGGGCUCAGUGAUGGCUCUUCCAGAUCUGCUUCUCCGCCUUUGCCGCCCAGCCCCACAGGGCCAGUUUACAGAUGGGGAAAUGGGGCACACAGAUGGUGAGGGGAACACUGUAGCGCCCCUGACCCUGCGGUCCGAGCACUCUGCCCAAGCCCGGGACACUCCAGGGCCGUUUUCAGGGGGCAGUGCCUAUCCCCAAAUGUCUUGGCUCACUUCCCAGGGGCUGGAGAGAGGACAGGUGCUGAGGGACACCCCACUCCCAACAAACCCAAGUGUCUCUUCCCCUGGGACCCCCUGAAGGGGCUUCCUCUCUGGACAAGGCUCUCCAAGGUGGAGUUCAGGCCGUUGGUUACAAUCAUUUCUCCCUGCAAGACCCACUUCAUGAGCCACAGUACUUUGCGAGUACCAGGCUGCUGGGUUCCCCUGCCCAUCAACCCCAGCCUACAAAAAGGAGACGGAGGCUCAGAAAAGUGGAGUGACUUGUCCCAAGUCUGUCUGACUCCGAAGCUCAUAAGCAGAGAGCUCCUCCUGCCAGUGAGGGCAGGGCAGGAUUUCACGGCCUCUGCAUGGGCUCUUGGGGGUGAUGGGGUGUGGGCAAUAAGCCUGUGACCAAGGGUCUUAGGAUGAGCUCCAAGGAGACUUGAGGGUGAAAACCAGGAGUGUGGGGGCUGCAGGUGGCCAGGGGUGGGGUGGUCCUGAGCAGAGUUUCUCAGUGUGCAGGAGGCAUUUCAGAAGCUCCUGGAGGCACCCCUUUAAACACAGGUUGCAGGCACCCUUUCCCUCUCAGCAGCCCUAGGUUCGAACCCUAUGCCCUCAGGUAGUAAACUUCCCUGGACUCCAGGUUCCUCCUCGGUAAAGAACAAGAGUAAUCUCCACCUCGCAAGGCUGUUGCAAAUAUUAAUUACAUAACAAUAAACAUAAUCAAUAAUAUUAGAGUA